GGUUAAGCGACUAAGCGUACACGGUGGAUGCCCUGGCAGUCAGAGGCGAUGAAGGACGUGCUAAUCUGCGAAAAGCGUCGGUAAGGUGAUAUGAACCGUUAUAGCCGGCGAUGUCCGAAUGGGGAAACCCAGUGUGAUUCGUCACACUAUCGUUAACUGAAUACAUAGGUUAACGAGGCGAACCGGGGGAACUGAAACAUCUAAGUACCCCGAGGAAAAGAAAUCAACCGAGAUUCCCCCAGUAGCGGCGAGCGAACGGGGAGCAGCCCAGAGUCUGAAUCAGCUUGUGUGUUAGUGGAACGGUCUGGAAAGUCCGACGGUACAGGGUGAUAGUCCCGUACACCAAAAUGCACAGGUUGUGAACUCGAAGAGUAGGGCGGGACACGUGGUAUCCUGUCUGAAUAUGGGGGGACCAUCCUCCAAGGCUAAAUACUCCUGACUGACCGAUAGUGAACCAGUACCGUGAGGGAAAGGCGAAAAGAACCCCGGCGAGGGGAGUGAAAAAGAACCUGAAACCGUGUACGUACAAGCAGUGGGAGCACCUUCGGGUGUGACUGCGUACCUUUUGUAUAAUGGGUCAGCGACUUAUAUUCUGUAGCAAGGUUAACCGUAUAGGGGAGCCGCAGGGAAACCGAGUCUUAACUGGGCGUUAAGUUGCAGGGUAUAGACCCGAAACCCGGUGAUCUAGCCAUGGGCAGGUUGAAGGUUGGGUAACACUAACUGGAGGACCGAACCGACUAAUGUUGAAAAAUUAGCGGAUGACUUGUGGCUGGGGGUGAAAGGCCAAUCAAACCGGGAGAUAGCUGGUUCUCCCCGAAAGCUAUUUAGGUAGCGCCUCGUGAACUCAUCUUCGGGGGUAGAGCACUGUUUCGGCUAGGGGGUCAUCCCGACUUACCAACCCGAUGCAAACUACGAAUACCGAAGAAUGUUAUCACGGGAGACACACGGCGGGUGCUAACGUCCGUCGUGAAGAGGGAAACAACCCAGACCGCCAGCUAAGGUCCCAAAGUCACAGUUAAGUGGGAAACGAUGUGGGAAGGCACAGACAGCCAGGAUGUUGGCUUAGAAGCAGCCAUCAUUUAAAGAAAGCGUAAUAGCUCACUGGUCGAGUCGGCCUGCGCGGAAGAUGUAACGGGGCUAAACUGUGCACCGAAGCUGCGGCAGCGACACUAUGUGUUGUUGGGUAGGGGAGCGUUCUGUAAGCCUGCGAAGGUGGCCUGUGAGGGUUGCUGGAGGUAUCAGAAGUGCGAAUGCUGACAUAAGUAACGAUAAUGCGGGUGAAAAGCCCGCACGCCGGAAGACCAAGGGUUCCUGUCCAACGUUAAUCGGGGCAGGGUGAGUCGACCCCUAAGGCGAGGCCGAAAGGCGUAGUCGAUGGGAAACAGGUUAAUAUUCCUGUACUUGGUGUUACUGCGAAGGGGGGACGGAGAAGGCUAUGUUAGCCGGGCGACGGUUGUCCCGGUUUAAGCAUGUAGGCGGAGGUUCCAGGUAAAUCCGGUACCUUUUAACGCUGAGGUGUGAUGACGAGGCACUACGGUGCUGAAGUAACAAAUGCCCUGCUUCCAGGAAAAGCCUCUAAGCAUCAGGUAACAUUAAAUCGUACCCCAAACCGACACAGGUGGUCAGGUAGAGAAUACCAAGGCGCUUGAGAGAACUCGGGUGAAGGAACUAGGCAAAAUGGUGCCGUAACUUCGGGAGAAGGCACGCUGAUAUGUAGGUGAAGUCCCUGCGGAUGGAGCUGAAAUCAGUCGAAGAUACCAGCUGGCUGCAACUGUUUAUUAAAAACACAGCACUGUGCAAACACGAAAGUGGACGUAUACGGUGUGACGCCUGCCCGGUGCCGGAAGGUUAAUUGAUGGGGUUAUCCGUAAGGAGAAGCUCUUGAUCGAAGCCCCGGUAAACGGCGGCCGUAACUAUAACGGUCCUAAGGUAGCGAAAUUCCUUGUCGGGUAAGUUCCGACCUGCACGAAUGGCGUAAUGAUGGCCAGGCUGUCUCCACCCGAGACUCAGUGAAAUUGAACUCGCUGUGAAGAUGCAGUGUACCCGCGGCAAGACGGAAAGACCCCGUGAACCUUUACUAUAGCUUGACACUGAACAUUGAGCCUUGAUGUGUAGGAUAGGUGGGAGGCUUUGAAGCGUGGACGCCAGUCUGCGUGGAGCCAACCUUGAAAUACCACCCUUUAAUGUUUGAUGUUCUAACGUUGGCCCCUGACCGGGGUUGCGGACAGUGUCUGGUGGGUAGUUUGACUGGGGCGGUCUCCUCCCAAAGAGUAACGGAGGAGCACGAAGGUUAGCUAAUCCUGGUCGGACAUCAGGAGGUUAGUGCAAUGGCAUAAGCUAGCUUGACUGCGAGCGUGACGGCGCGAGCAGGUGCGAAAGCAGGUCAUAGUGAUCCGGUGGUUCUGAAUGGAAGGGCCAUCGCUCAACGGAUAAAAGGUACUCCGGGGAUAACAGGCUGAUACCGCCCAAGAGUUCAUAUCGACGGCGGUGUUUGGCACCUCGAUGUCGGCUCAUCACAUCCUGGGGCUGAAGUAGGUCCCAAGGGUAUGGCUGUUCGCCAUUUAAAGUGGUACGCGAGCUGGGUUUAGAACGUCGUGAGACAGUUCGGUCCCUAUCUGCCGUGGGCGCUGGAGAAUUGAGGGGGGCUGCUCCUAGUACGAGAGGACCGGAGUGGACGCAUCACUGGUGUUCGGGUUGUCAUGCCAAUGGCAUUGCCCGGUAGCUAAAUGCGGAAGAGAUAAGUGCUGAAAGCAUCUAAGCACGAAACUUGCCCCGAGAUGAGUUCUCCCUGAGACUUUAAGUCUCCUGAAGGAACGUUAAAGACGAUGACGUUGAUAGGUCGGGUGUGUAAGCGUAGCGAUACGUUGAGCUAACCGAUACUAAUGAACCGUGAGGCUUAACCUU
rnacentral:rRNA from 1 species